UACGGAGGGGGCUAGCGUUGUUCGGAAUUACUGGGCGUAAAGCGCACGUAGGCGGCUUUGCAAGUUAGAGGUGAAAGCCCGGGGCUCAACUCCGGAAUUGCCUUUAAAACUGCAUCACUAGAAUUGUGGAGAGGUAAGUGGAAUUCCGAGUGUAGAGGUGAAAUUCGUAGAUAUUCGGAAGAACACCAGUGGCGAAGGCGACUUACUGGACACAUAUUGACGCUGAGGUGCGAAAAGCGUGGGGAGCAAACAGG
rnacentral:rRNA from 1 species